CUGCUGCCUCCCGUAGGAGUUUGGACCGUGUCUCAGUUCCAAUGUGGGGGACCUUCCUCUCAGAACCCCUACUGAUCGUCGCCCCGGUGGGCCGUUACCCCGCCGGCAAGCUAAUCAGACGCAUCCCCAUCCUUUACCGGCCGAAGCCUUUGGUCAUGAAAAUAUGCAUCAACAUGACAACAUACGGUAUUAAUCCGCCUUUCGACGGGCUGUUCCAUAGUAAAGGGCAGGUUGGAUACGCGUUACUCACCCGUGCGCCGGUCGCCA
rnacentral:rRNA from 1 species